AUGCCUCCGGACGGCGACGCGGAGCUGGCGGCGGACGAGCUGCAGAGCCUCAGCUUCGGCUCCUCCGAGCGCUCCCGCUCCGCCUCCACCGUCUCCACCGCCACGGCCUCCUGCUCCACCUCCUCCUCCUCGGGGCCAAUCGCCGGCGUCCCCGCGCCGCGCUCCUGCAACCCCUCCGCCCUCGCCCCGCGCCUCGGCACGGUGCAGCUGUCGGACAUCCGCUUCGUGCGGAGGCUCGGGGCCGGGGACAUCGGCAGCGUCUACCUGGCCGAGGUGAAGGGCAAGGGCGGGGCGCUGGUGGCGGCCAAGGUGAUGGACCGGAAGGAGCUCCAGGGCCGCAACAAGGAGGGCCGCGCGCGCACCGAGCGCGAGAUCCUCGAGGCCGUCGACCACCCCUUCCUCCCGCGCCUCUACGGGGUCGCCGAGGGCGAGCGCUGGUCCUGCCUCCUCACCGAGUUCUGCCCCGGCGGCGAUCUCCACGUCCUCCGCCAGAGGCAGCCGCACCGCCGAUUCUCCGAGGCCGCCGUCAGGUUCUACGUGGCGGAGGUGGUGGCUGCGCUGGAGUACAUUCACAUGCUGGACAUCGUGUACCGGGACCUCAAGCCGGAGAACGUGCUGGUCCGCGCCGACGGCCAUAUCAUGCUCACCGACUUCGACCUCUCCCUCAAGUGCGACCCGACGGCCCCGACUCCGGCGCACGUCAUCUCCGACCCCGUCGGCCUCACCGGCCGCCCCUCCGCGUCGUCCACCUGUAUCAUCCCUUCCUGCAUCGUACCGUCGGUGUCCUGCUUCAGCCUCUUCCCCGGCCGCGGCCGCCGGCGCCGGCGCCGCAAGAAGGCCUCGGGCGGCGGUGGCGGGGGCCUGAACGGCAGCAGCGACGGCAGCCUCCCCACCGGCGUGCUGGACCUGGAGUUCGUGGCGGAGCCGGUGGAGCUCCGGUCCAUGUCGUUCGUGGGCACGCACGAGUACCUGGCCCCGGAGAUCGUGUCGGGCGAGGGCCACGGCAGCUCGGUGGACUGGUGGACGCUGGGCAUCUUCAUCUUCGAGCUCCUCUACGGGGUGACUCCCUUCAAGGGGUACGACAACGAGAUGACCCUGGCCAACAUCGUGGCCCGCGCGCUCGAGUUCCCCAAGGACCCCUCCGUCUCCUCCGCCGCCAGGGACCUCGUCACCGCGCUGCUCGCCAAGGACCCGGCGCGCAGGCUCGGCGCCACCGUCGGCGCCGCGGCCAUCAAGCGCCACCCAUUCUUCAACGGCGUCAACUGGGCGCUGCUCCGCUGCGCCACGCCGCCCUACGUGCCCCCGCCUUUCAGCGCCGCGGUCGCCACGGCCGCUGGCUCCGGCGGCCCCGGGAAGAAGAACAGCCCCAACGACGACGACGACGACAUGUCGGACGACAGCUGCCCCGGCACGCCCGUGGAGUACUACUAG
rnacentral:rRNA from 1 species